CACACACUAAGUGUGUGGAUCGAUCUCCAGGAGCGACCAGGAGGGUGAAAACCCUAGAACUCAACAAAUCUUGCAAAUUGAAGGUUCAAUUCAAGUCCAAAUCGAAUUCUAAACAUAGAUUCCUGAUCCUCAUCACAAGGGGAUUACAAGUUUAACGCGUAACAAGCUAGGUGGAAGCUUGAUGAGGGAGCGGGUCAAACGAAUCAAGAAGGAAAGGAAAAAAGCAUAGUUCGGACACGAGGAAAUAAAUAGCACAUGGAUGCUUACAUCGCUAUCGCUUAGCAGCCACUAAGGAAAUGUAUUGAAACGGGUCAAUAUAUUGAUCCGAGCCAGGUGAAGAUGGGAUAAGCGGUUUGAAAGAUACGAAAGUUUUCGUGCAAAUAAACGGCAAAAUAGGAAAGCUGGAAUGCAGGGGCCACCGUAACUUACGGUGCCACCGUAAGUUACGGUGGAGCUGAAAGCUUUACGGUAGCUUCCUACUGAAUUACGGUGAAUGUCAAGAGUCCCGGAUAAAGAUCAAGCAUCGAGCCAGAACCGAACACGCGUUAAAUAAAGCUUCCGCUAUGUUGUUUCGUCAUUAUUUUAAAACGGCGAAUUAAACCACUUUAUGUGGUGUUACUAUAAUUUGUAAAAGUUUUCUUUAAUCCCGUAUUUCCAAUGUAUGUAAUCAUUAAUUACAUGAAUGUUUUCGCAAAAUAUACGUUAAACCUUGAUUUAUAAGAACUGGUGUUACAUCG